rnacentral:rRNA from 1 species
CCUACGGGUGGCAGCAGUGGGGAAUAUUGGUCAAUGGACGCAAGUCUGACCCAGCAAUGCCGCGUGCAGGAUGAAGGCUCUCUGGGUAUUAACUUCCUUUUGUGCGGGAGUGAACCCCACUGCACGCCUUGCGUUAACCAUGGCUAACUACUUAGCAUCAGCUGCGGCCAUACGUAGGUCGCCAGCGUUGUCCGGAUUUACUGGGUGUAAAGGGCGUGUAGGCGGUGAGAGAAGUCAGAGGUGAAAUCCACGGGCUCAACCCGGAAACUGCAUUUGAAACUGUUGCCCUAGAGAAUCGGAGCGGUAAUCGGAAUUCCUAGUGUAGCGGUGAAAUGCGUAGAGAUUAGACAGAACACCGAUGGCGAAGGCAGAUUACUAAACGAUAACUGACGGUGAGGCGCGAAAGCGUGGGGAGCAAACAGGAUUAGAUACCCUAGUAGUC